rnacentral:rRNA from 1 species
UACAGAGGUGGCAAGCGUUAUCCGGAAUUAUUGGGCGUAAAGAGCUCGUAGGCGGUUUGUCGCGUCUGCCGUGAAAGUCCGGGGCUCAACUCCGGAUCUGCGGUGGGUACGGGCAGACUAGAGUGAUGUAGGGGAGACUGGAAUUCCUGGUGUAGCGGUGAAAUGCGCAGAUAUCAGGAGGAACACCGAUGGCGAAGGCAGGUCUCUGGGCAUUAACUGACGCUGAGGAGCGAAAGCAUGGGGAGCGAACAGG